rnacentral:rRNA from 1 species
CGGAGGGUGCAAGCGUUGUUCGGAAUUACUGGGCGUAAAGCGCACGUAGGCGGAUUUGUAAGUCAGAUGUGAAAGCCCCGGGCUUAACCUGGGAAUUGCAUUUGAAACUGCAAACCUUGAAUGCUUGAGAGGGUGACGGAAUUCCUGGUGUAGAAGUGAAAUUCGUAGAUAUCAGGAGGAACACCGGAGGCGAAGGCGGUUGCCUGGCGAUGCAUUGACGCUGAGGUGCGAAAGCGUGGGUAGCAAACAGGAUUAGAUACCCUGGUAGUCCACGCUGUAAACUAUGGAUACUAGGUGUCCGCGGCUUUAACCCCGUGGGUACCAAAGCUUACGCAUUAAGUAUCCCGCCUGGGGAGUACGGGUCGCAAGGCUA